rnacentral:tRNA from 1 species
GCAGGUAUCGUAUAGUGGUAUUAUGCCGCCUUGCCAAGGCGGAGAGAGGGGUUCGAUUCCCCUUACUUGCUCCA